rnacentral:rRNA from 1 species
GACGAACGCUGGCGGCGUGCUUAACACAUGCAAGUCGAACGGAAAGGCCCUGCUUUUGUGGGGUGCUCGAGUGGCGAACGGGUGAGUAACACGUGAGUAACCUGCCCUUGACUUUGGGAUAACUUCAGGAAACUGGGGCUAAUACCGGAUAGGAGCUCCUGCUGCAUGGUGGGGGUUGGAAAGUUUCGGCGGUUGGGGAUGGACUCGCGGCUUAUCAGCUUGUUGGUGGGGUAGUGGCUUACCAAGGCUUUGACGGGUAGCCGGCCUGAGAGGGUGACCGGCCACAUUGGGACUGAGAUACGGCCCAGACUCCUACGGGAGGCAGCAGUGGGGAAUAUUGCACAAUGGGCGGAAGCCUGAUGCAGCAACGCCGCGUGCGGGAUGACGGCCUUCGGGUGGUAAACCGCUUUCGCCUGUGACGAAGCGUGAGUGACGGUAAAGGGGAAAGAAGCACCGGCUAGCUACGU